UAGUAGAAGUAGAAGUACUAUCAGUGCUUGUAGUAGUACUACUAAUAAUCUUACUACUAAUACUACUACUAUCACCACCACCAACAACAAAAGAGAGGUAUCAUGGUAUAAUCAACAGUGUUUUGAAAUGGCAAGAUUUGGCCAAAGCAGUCUUCACAUGCUGGGUGAGCAAAGCCUUAGUUCACCAGGGGACCCGAUGGCUAACCUCACAAGGUUUAGCCAGCCUGUCGAAGCCGUUGCCCGGGGUAUGGCCGCUGCCUCAUGCUAGCAGCUACUGGGAGCCACAAGUGAGAGCAUAAGAGACCUCAUUGCCAGGGCUCUCUCUUCAUCUCUACUUCCAGCUUUCUUUUAAAUAUUAUUAUCUUCAAAUUGUAGGACCCUUUAAAUCAACAUCUAUCUUUUUUCCUCUAUAUGUGUACCUCCAAUAUUUAACAUGGUGCUGGUACAUAGUAAGUGUACAAUAAAUGCUGAAUGAAUUUUGUUGAC